GCUCUCCACAAGUUCCAUUGGACAGAGACCCCCAGUGCUCACUCUUUCACUUCACCACACCUCGCUUGGCAUCAUGGCCCCAGGGCGGCCACCCUUGGGUGAGUUCCCGAAGCCUCUGAGCACUCAGGUUACCCAGCACUGGCUGCCGACUGCUGCGGGUAUGCGGGCCACGGCCCACGUUUCCCACAUGCACAGACUGAGCCCACCUUCACUCACACGAACCUGCAGAAGGGGGAACUCUGAUCGUCCUGGGAAACGGGAGCUCUGAGAAAAAGCCCCCUGCUCAAGGUCAUGCAGCAAAGGAUAGUAGCCACAAAUGGAGCCUGAACUGUCCAGGUCAAAGGCCAUGCCCUCAUUUUCAACACCUACGUGCCUGCAGAAUAGCAGGUCAGGAGGACCAUUCCUGCAAAUGGGAUCCUCUACCCAGUUUUCAGGCUAGGCCAAUGGGUCAGCAGGGUCAGCUUUGAUGAUCUAUAAACCAAGACCCCCUAAGCACCAGAUGACAGCCUUGGAAGGACCCAUGGGUAUGUGAGAAUUCUGGUUGGCCAGAGAGAGCUGUUGUCACUCAUACAAACACACACACACACAUACACACGCACACACACACACAUAAAGAGUGACCUGACCUGACUGAGGUCACCCUUUUUGGCAGUGCUUUUUGUCUGUUCUCUUCCUCUCACCUUCCCACCCUCUGUUCUUGUCUUCCACACACUUCCCCAGUGACUGCUCAGAUGGGCUAAAAUGAUGGGAUUUUACUUCCUGAUGGUUUUCUUUUCUGGCUGUAGUGAUCACUCUUUGUCACAGAUGCCUGGGCUCUCCCCAAAGUGUCUGAGUUGAUAUGUUCCAUUCCAGUUGCAAGCUGUGUUUUUUUGAAUGUGAAUGAUUAGCAACCAUUAUGGGAACGUCAAAGGUACCCUGAGAGGGUGCAGAACCUAGAGGAGGUUCUAUGCUUUCUUUCUCUGCCCUUGAGGAUGCCUGUGCAGGGAUGAGGAAGCCUUCCAUCAACGGGAAACUGAAGGGCAACUACUGAGCUACAUUUCACUUCUCCCCCAACUUUUUUUUUGUGGUACUGGACAUCGAACUGAAAACUUUGGACUUGCCAGGCAGGUAUUUAUGCUGCUAAGGUAUAUCCCCUGCCCCAUUUUUUUUCCAUGUAAUUCUAUUUCCAUGUCUAGCUUACUGGGAGGGAGAAAGGAGUGAAGGAGAAGACGCUGGUCACGGUGAUGCGAGGCUUCCAGAUAACAGCUGCAGCAAUCCCACAGAACGUGGGGCGGGACCCAGCAUGUUCAGCUGCCUCAGAGAUGAUCUAACUGAGGAGAGUGAGAGGGACGCUGAGAAGAGUGAGAGGCUUACAGUGCAGAGCACGAGGGGCCUUUAGAUAGUAGGGACCUGCAAGCAACAGAGGGGCAGGAGCAAGAGUGGCCAAGUGAGAAAUUUAGUGCAAAGCCUCAUCUCUCUUAGUUUCAGAGCAAGCUUGAGGACCGAAGGCAGGAAGCACAAGCUGAGAAGGUCGAUGCAGGGGAAAUGAUGACCCUAGCAGAAAUGGAAAGAGCAGCAAAGCCUCAUCGUUCCCAGGACCCCGGAUCAUGACCGCAUGCAGCGAUGCUUUGGGCCGUAGAUCACCUCAAUCUCACCUACAUAAUGCAGGAUAACCUCUCUAUUUAAGGAGUGAGUCCAUGGCCGUAGAUGUCUAUCUUCCCCAACACCUCAAGCAAGCCCCGGAGUGAGGAGGUGGAGGCUGACACACAGCAGGCGGCUGUGCCUCACACAAGAGAUGAGACUGUGAGAGGAGCAAACCCUGGAGCCGCUGCAUCCAGCCAUCCUUCAGUGAGCCCUAAACCUCCCGGAUGUGUAAGCCAAGAGCUUCCUCCCACCUGUUUAAAAACAUUUACAGUGGGAUUCUCCCAUGUAUAUUUCAGUGAACCCUAAUCAUAUGUGUGUCUGUGAGCAUCAGGUUGAAACACAUCUAGGAGACUUUGGAGCGAACAGCAGGAAACAGAACUGAGGUGGUGGUCUGAGUAGCUUUUGCUUUUGACUUAAUAUAUUUGUACUGUUUGAGUA